AUUGAAUGAUGGCGGAAGGGGGAACACAGGCAAGUCGAACGGUAACAGGAAGCAGCUUGCUGCUUCGCUGACGAGUGGCGGACGGGUGAGUAAUGUCUGGGAAACUGCCUGAUGGAGGGGGAUAACUACUGGAAACGGUAGCUAAUACCGCAUAACGUCGCAAGACCAAAGAGGGGGACCUUAGGGCCUCUUGCCAUCGGAUGUGCCCAGAUGGGAUUAGCCAGUAGGUGGGGUAACGGCUCACCUAGGCGACGAUCCCUAGCUGGUCUGAGAGGAUGACCAGCCACACUGGAACUGAGACACGGUCCAGACUCCUACGGGAGGCAGCAGUGGGGAAUAUUGCACAAUGGGCGCAAGCCUGAUGCAGCCAUGCCGCGUGUAUGAAGAAGGCCUUCGGGUUGUAAAGUACUUUCAGCGGGGAGGAAGGGAGUAAAGUUAAUACCUUUGCUCAUUGACGUUACCCGCAGAAGAAGCACCGGCUACCUCCGUG
rnacentral:rRNA from 1 species